rnacentral:rRNA from 1 species
AGUGAACGCUGGCGGUAGGCCUAACACAUGCAAGUCGAACGGCAGCACAGUAAGAGCUUGCUCUUACGGGUGGCGAGUGGCGGACGGGUGAGGAAUACAUCGGAAUCUACUUUUUCGUGGGGGAUAACGUAGGGAAACUUACGCUAAUACCGCAUACGACCUACGGGUGAAAGCAGGGGAUCUUCGGACCUUGCGCGAUUGAAUGAGCCGAUGUCGGAUUAGCUAGUUGGCGGGGUAAAGGCCCACCAAGGCGACGAUCCGUAGCUGGUCUGAGAGGAUGACUAGCCACACUGGAACUGAGACACGGUCCAGACUCCUACGGGAGGCAGCAGUGGGGAAUAUUGGACAAUGGGCGCAAGCCUGAUCCAGCCAUACCGCGUGGGUGAAGAAGGCCUUCGGGUUGUAAAGCCCUUUUGUUGGGAAAGAAAAGCAGCAGGUUAAUACCCCGCUGUUCUGACGGUACCCAAAGAAUAAGCACCGGCUAACUUCGUG